CACACUGGCUAAACCAGACGUUUAAUCUCUCUCUGCCCUUGUUUCCUGUAACCUGAGCUUGGAGACACACAGCUUCUGUGUUUUGAAAUGCCUGAUACCCCUCGGGAUGAAGCAGCUGCGUCUCAGAGAACUGCUACAGAAAAACUCCACUUUUCAAGGAGUAAAGAGAUCAUAUGCAUCAAUACCAAGAUGCGGGACACUUUUAUACAAGCAAAUGCUUAUUUCUUCCCUGGGCAGACUUCUCUACUU